GAUGAACGCUGGCGGCGUGCCUAAUACAUGCAAGUCGAGCGAACAGACGAGGAGCUUGCUCCUCUGACGUUAGCGGCGGACGGGUGAGUAACACGUGGAUAACCUACCUAUAAGACUGGGAUAACUUCGGGAAACCGGAGCUAAUACCGGAUAAUAUAUUGAACCGCAUGGUUCAAUAGUGAAAGACGGUUUUGCUGUCACUUAUAGAUGGAUCCGCGCCGCAUUAGCUAGUUGGUAAGGUAACGGCUUACCAAGGCGACGAUGCGUAGCCGACCUGAGAGGGUGAUCGGCCACACUGGAACUGGGACACGGUCCAGACUCCUACGGGAGGCAGCAGUAGGGAAUCUUCCGCAAUGGGCGAAAGCCUGACGGAGCAACGCCGCGUGAGUGAUGAAGGUCUUCGGAUCGUAAAACUCUGUUAUUAGGGAAGAACAAAUGUGUAAGUAACUAUGCACGUCUUGACGGUACCUAAUCAGAAAGCCACGGCUAACUACGU
rnacentral:rRNA from 1 species